UACGUAGGGUGCGAGCGUUAAUCGGAAUUACUGGGCGUAAAGUGUGCGCAGGCGGCCGCGCAAGUCGAGUGUGAAAGCCCCCGAGCUUAACUUGGGAAUUGCGCUCGAAACUACGUGGCUGGAGUGUGGCAGAGGAAGGUGGAAUUCCACGUGUAGCGGUGAAAUGCGUAGAGAUGUGGAGGAACACCAAUGGCGAAAGGCAGCCUUCUGGGCCAACACUGACGCUCAUGCACGAAAGCGUGGGGAGCAAACAGG
rnacentral:rRNA from 1 species